AGAGUUUGAUCCUGGCUCAGGAUGAACGCUGGCGGCGUGCUUAACACAUGCAAGUCGAACGAGCCUUCGGGCUAGUGGCGGACGGGUGAGUAACGCGUGAGAAUCUGCCCUCAGGAGGGGGAUAACGGCUGGAAACGGCCGCUAAUACCCCAUAUGCCGCGAGGUGAAAUGAGAAAUCGCCUGAGGAUGAGCUCGCGUCUGAUUAGCUAGUUGGUGGGGUAAGAGCCUACCAAGGCAUCGAUCAGUAGCUGGUCUGAGAGGAUGAUCAGCCACACUGGGACUGAGACACGGCCCAGACUCCUACGGGAGGCAGCAGUGGGGAAUUUUCCGCAAUGGGCGCAAGCCUGACGGAGCAACGCCGCGUGAGGGAUGAAGGCCUCUGGGCUGUAAACCUCUUUUCUCAAGGAAGAAGAACUGACGGUACUUGAGGAAUAAGCCACGGCUAAUUCCGUGCCAGCAGCCGCGGUAAUACGGGAGUGGCAAGCGUUAUCCGGAAUUAUUGGGCGUAAAGCGUCCGCAGGCGGUCUUGAAAGUCUGUUGUUAAAGCGUGGAGCUCAACUCCAUUUCAGCAAUGGAAACUAGAAGACUAGAGUGUGGUAGGGGCAGAGGGAAUUCCCGGUGUAGCGGUGAAAUGCGUAGAUAUCGGGAAGAACACCAGUGGCGAAGGCGCUCUGCUGGGCCAUAACUGACGCUCAUGGACGAAAGCCAGGGGAGCGAGAGGGAUUAGAUACCCCUGUAGUCCUGGCCGUAAACGUUGAACACUAGGUGUCGGGGGAAUCGACCCCCUCGGUGUCGUAGCCAACGCGUUAAGUGUUCCGCCUGGGGAGUACGCACGCAAGUGUGAAACUCAAAGGAAUUGACGGGGGCCCGCACAAGCGGUGGAGUAUGUGGUUUAAUUCGAUGCAACGCGAAGAACCUUACCAGGGUUUGACAUCCUGCGAAUCUUUUGGAAACAGAAGAGUGCCUUCGGGAGCGCAGAGACAGGUGGUGCAUGGCUGUCGUCAGCUCGUGUCGUGAGAUGUUGGGUUAAGUCCCGCAACGAGCGCAACCCACGUCUUUAGUUGCCAGCAUUAAGUUGGGCACUCUAGAGAGACCGCCGGUGAUAAACCGGAGGAAGGUGUGGAUGACGUCAAGUCAUCAUGCCCCUUACAUCCUGGGCUACACACGUACUACAAUGCUACGGACAGAGGGCAGCAAACUCGCGAGAGCUAGCAAAUCCCAUAAACCGUGGCUCAGUUCAGAUCGUAGGCUGCAACUCGCCUACGUGAAGGAGGAAUCGCUAGUAAUCGCAGGUCAGCAUACUGCGGUGAAUACGUUCCCGGGCCUUGUACACACCGCCCGUCACACCAUGGAAGUUGGCCAUGCCCGAAGUCGUUACUCCAACCCUUGUGGAGGAGGACGCCGAAGGUGGGGCUGAUGACUGGGGUGAAGUCGUAACAAGGUA
rnacentral:rRNA from 1 species